UACGGAGGGUGCGAGCGUUGUCCGGAAUCACUGGGCGUAAAGGGCGCGUAGGCGGCCUGGUAAGUGGGGGGUGAAAUCCUGCGGCUUAACCGCAGGGCUGCCUUCUAAACUGUCAGGCUCGAGCACGGUAGAGGCAGAUGGAAUUCCCGGUGUAGCGGUGGAAUGCGUAGAGAUCGGGAAGAACAUCAGUGGCGAAGGCGGUUCUCUGGGCCUUACCUGACGCUGAGGAGCGAAAGCGUGGGGAGCGAACAGG
rnacentral:rRNA from 1 species